rnacentral:rRNA from 1 species
GACGUAGGGCGCGAGCGUUGUCCGGAUUUAUUGGGCGUAAAGAGCUCGUAGGCGGCUUGUCGCGUCGUCCGUGAAAACCAGGGGCUCAACCCCUGGCUUGCGGUCGAUACGGGCAGGCUAGAGUUCGGUAGGGGAGACUGGAAUUCUCGGUGUAGCGGUGAAAUGCGUAGAUAUCGAGAGGAACACCUGCGGCGAAGGCGGGUUGCUGGGCUGACACUGACGCUGAUUGUGCGAAAGCUAGGGGAGCGAACGGG